UCUACCACACGAUCUGCACGACGCGCAACUACCUGAAAUCACCGCAAUCGUACAGCGCCAAACCCUACCACCCGCUCCCACUCCAUCACAGCCAUCACCGCCUCAAGCACCUCCAGCUGUACCUGAUAAUCGUCUGCCUCCUCAUCUCCUUCGUCCACCAAAUCCUGACCGCAUCCGACUCCGACCCGCUUGUCAAGGGCCGGACCCCCGUCCACCUCUUCGCCUCCCUCCAGUCCGCGCUCGUCCUCUUCCUCUUCCUCUUCCUCUCCCUCUCCCUCCUCCUCUCCGAAUCCACCUCGUUACUCCCUUUCCCCUCCGAUCUCUUCUUCGCCCUCGCCGCCUCCCUCUUCUACC
rnacentral:lncRNA from 1 species